rnacentral:piRNA from 1 species
UUGGGGGUUGAUGAUGCUGCAGU